UGUGUUUGGGCUCAAAAUGUGAAACGAAAGCUAGAUGAUUGUUUAAGUUCCUAAGAGAUGCUCUAGUCCUAACAGGUUGAGAUGGAUCAUCUAGAAUUAAUUCCUUAGGAUGCCCGUGAGCAAACCUCCAAGCCUUAGUCAGCCCAUGAUCCACAAUAGCCUCUUGGCUUGAUGAUGCAUCUCCAAUUAAUUUUUGAUUAUUAUCUAGUAAUGUCAUCUCAUCAAUCUUUUCUUCAAGAAUUUUCGUAUCAUCAUCAAAAUU
rnacentral:lncRNA from 1 species